AUUGAACGCUGGCGGCAUGCCUUACACAUGCAAGUCGAACGGUAACGCGGGGCAACCUGGCGACGAGUGGCGAACGGGUGAGUAAUAUAUCGGAACGUGCCCAGUAGUGGGGGAUAGCCCGGCGAAAGCCGGAUUAAUACCGCAUACGACCUACGGGUGAAAGCGGGGGAUCGCAAGACCUCGCGCUAUUGGAGCGGCCGAUAUCAGAUUAGCUUGUUGGUGGGGUAAAAGCCUACCAAGGCGACGAUCUGUAGCUGGUCUGAGAGGACGACCAGCCACACUGGGACUGAGACACGGCCCAGACUCCUACGGGAGGCAGCAGUGGGGAAUUUUGGACAAUGGGCGCAAGCCUGAUCCAGCCAUGCCGCGUGUGGGAAGAAGGCCU
rnacentral:rRNA from 1 species